rnacentral:rRNA from 1 species
GACGAACGCUGGCGGCGUGCUUAACACAUGCAAGUCGAACGGAACGGCCCUGCUUUUGUGGGGUGCUCGAGUGGCGAACGGGUGAGUAACCCGUGAGUAACCUGCCCUUGACUUUGGGAUAACUUAAGGAAACUGGGGCUAAUACCGGAUAGGAGCUCCUGCUGCAUGGCGGGGGUUGGAAAGUUUGGGCGGUUGGGGAUGGGAUCGGGGCUGAUCUGCUUGUUGGUGGGGUAGCGGCUUACCAAGGCUUUGACGGGUAGCCGGCCUGCGAGGGUGACCGGCCACAUUGGGACUGAGAUACCGCCCAUACUCCUACGGGAGGCAGCAGGGGGGAAUAUUGCACAAUGGGCGGGAGCCUGAGGCAGCAACGCCGCGUGCGGGAUGACGGCCUUCGGGUUGUAAACCGCUUUCGCCUGUGACGAAGAGUGAGUGACGGUAAUGGGUAAAGAAGCACCGGCUAACUACGUG